CUGGGAAGAUGAACCCGAGGGUGGAGAGCCCUCAAUCAGAUCACAACUCCACCCUUGGAAGAUCCCUGCCCCCAUUCUGCCAGAGGACCCUCGAGACCCGAAGUCAAGAGGAUUUCCUGGAUCGGAGACUCUAGGAGAUGAACCGGCGGAUCGAAGAACUCCGCCACGCUCCCCCCGCUUACGGUGAGGAUAUUUGCACUGACCCUCCCUUUUCUCAAAUGAUCAUGCAGGAACCGAUCCCGCCAAACUUCAAACUCCCCCAGUUCGAAAGCUACGACGGGACUUCGGACCUAGU
rnacentral:lncRNA from 1 species